rnacentral:rRNA from 1 species
AGUGAACGCUGGCGGUAGGCCUAACACAUGCAAGUCGAACGGCAGCACAGUAAGAGCUUGCUCUUACGGGUGGCGAGUGGCGGACGGGUGAGGAAUACAUCGGAAUCUACUUUUUCGUGGGGGAUAACGUAGGGAAACUUACGCUAAUACCGCAUACGACCUACGGGUGAAAGCAGGGGAUCUUCGGACCUUGCGCGAUUGAAUGAGCCGAUGUCGGAUUAGCUAGUUGGCGGGGUAAAGGCCCACCAAGGCGACGAUCCGUAGCUGGUCUGAGAGGAUGAUCAGCCACACUGGAACUGAGACACGGUCCAGACUCCUACGGGAGGCAGCAGUGGGGAAUAUUGGACAAUGGGCGCAAGCCUGAUCCAGCCAUACCGCGUGGGUGAAGAAGGCCUUCGGGUUGUAAAGCCCUUUUAUUGGGAAAGAAAAGCGGCAGGUUAAUACCCCGCUGUUCUGACGGUACCCAAAGAAUAAGCACCGGCUAACUUCGUG